rnacentral:rRNA from 1 species
AUGGCAGAGGACGAUAUCCACAAAACUGCUUUCUCCACACUUCAGGGGCACUUUGAAUUUCUAGUACUGUCUUUUGGCCUUUCAAAUGGCCCUCCAACAUUUCAAGCUCUCAUGAACUUGCUGUUUGGUCCUUUCAAAUUUGUGGUAGUGUUCUUUGACGACAUCCUAGUGUUCAGUCAGACCCUAGAACACAAAGUCCACUUGUCCAAAGUAUUUGCUACACUCCAAGAAAACCAACUGUAUGCCAAACUGGACAAGUGCUCCUUUGGUCAAUCUAAAGUAGAAUAUCUAGGCCAUGUUAUCAGCAAGGAUGGAGUAGCCACUGACCCUGCAAAGAUCACAGCAAUUCAAGAAUGA